rnacentral:rRNA from 1 species
UACGAAGGGUGCUAGCGUUGUUCGGAAUUACUGGGCGUAAAGGGUGCGUAGGCGGGUCUUUAAGUCAGGGGGGAAAUCCUGGAGCUCAACUCCAGAACUGCCUUUGAUACUGAGGAUCUUGAGUUCGGGAGAGGUGAGUGGAACUGCGAGUGUAGAGGUGAAAUUCGUAGAUAUUCGCAAGAACACCAGUGGCGAAGGCGGCUCACUGGCCCGAUACUGACGCUGAGGCACGAAAGCGUGGGGAGCAAACAGG